rnacentral:rRNA from 1 species
UACGGGGGGGGGCAAGCGUUGUUCGGAAUUACUGGGCGUAAAGGGCUCGUAGGCGGCCAACUAAGUCGGACGUGAAAUCCCUCGGCUUAACCGGGGAACUGCGUCCGAUACUGGAUGGCUUGAGGUUGGGAGAGGGAUGCGGAAUUCCAGGUGUAGCGGUGAAAUUCGUAGAUAUUGGGAAGAACACCGGUGGCGAAGGCGGCGACCUGGUCCAUUACUGACGCUGAGGCGCGACAGCGUGGGGAGCAAACAGG